rnacentral:rRNA from 1 species
GAUGAACGCUGGCGGCGUGCUUAACACAUGCAAGUCGAGCGAACAGGCCAUGAUUUUGUGGGGUGCUCGAUUGGGGCGCGGGUGAGUAACACGUGAGUAAACUGCCCUUAUCUGUCUGGUAACAUCUGGGGACUGGGGAUCAUAUCGGAUAGGAGCUCCUGCAGCAUAUUGGGCGUUGGAGAGUUUCGGCGGUUUGGGCUGGACUCGCGGCUUAUCCGCUUGUUGGUGGGGUAGUGGCUUACCAAGGCUUUGACGGGUAGGCGGCCUGAGAGGGUUACCGGCCACAAUGGGACUGAGGGACGGAGCAGACUGCUACGUGAGGCAGCAGGGGGGAAUAUUGCACAGUGGGCGGAAGCCUGAUGCAGCAACGUCGCGUGCGGGAUGCCGGCCUACGGGUGGUAAACCGCUUUCGCCUGUGACGAAGCGUGAGUGACGGUAAUUGGUAAAGAAGCACCGGCUAACUACGUG